rnacentral:rRNA from 1 species
GGUCCACAAGCGCGAAAACUUUCCAAUGCUGCAACAGCKAUAAGGGAAGCCUCGAGUGCCAGGUUACAAAUCUGGCUGUCCAGAUGGCUAAAAARCAUUUGAUAGCAAGGGCCGGGCAAGACCGGUGCCAGCCGCCGCGGUAACACCGGCGGCUCGAGUGGUAACCGUUAUUAUUGGGUCUAAAGGGUCUGUAGCCGGKCKGAUAAGUCUCUUGAGAAAUCUGGCAGCUUAACUGUCAGGCUUUCAGGAGAUACUGUCUGGCUCGAGGCCGGGAGAGGUGAGAGGUACUUCAGGGGUAGGAGUGAAAUCUUGUAAUCCUUGAAGGACCACCAGUGGCGAAGGCGUCUCACCAGAACGGSUCUGACGGYAAGGGACGAAAGCUAGGGGCRCGAACCGGAUUAGAUACCCGGGUAGUCCUAGCCGUAAACGAUGCUCGCUAGGUGUCRGGCACGGUGCGACCGUUGUCGGUGCCGUAGGGAAGCCGUGAAGCGAGCCACCUGG